rnacentral:lncRNA from 1 species
UUGUACUUUUUAAAAUUAAAUCAUUUUUUUUCGUUUUUCAAAAAAUUAAAUUGUUACUAUACUUCCAAAACAUAUGGCCAUUUAAUAAAAACAAAAUACAAAUGCAAAACGUAGCAGAAAACCUUAGAAACUAGUUAGAUAAGACAUAGAACAAAGAAGAACACUUUGAGUACAAAACGUAGCAGAAAACCGCAGAAACUAAUUUCAUAGUGAUUAUUGCUGUUAUAUUGUACAAAUUGGGAUCAGAAAUUAAAGGAAGAACUGGGGAACAUUAAUUUGCAACAAUGAAAUUAUUUGAGUACAAAACUCUCCUCCUUAUUACCUUUCUUGAGACCUUGGACUAAUCCAUGAAUAAUCUCGUACACAUCUGAAUGAUCUGAAUUAAUUUCUUGACAAGCUAAUCACCAAAAGAUCAUCAUGCUCAACACGACAACCACCGAAAGUGGCAAGUACAAAUCCAAAUUUUGGUGGCGGUUUGGACUAGCUCCGCUGAAAUUCUCAUCCACUGGGUACAAGUUCCCUGGUGGACCCGUCAGGUACAAGUAUGCUGAUGACGGUGGUGGAGGGCAAUAUGAUGAUGGUGGUUUUUUGGGUGACGGUGGUGGUGGUGAUGAAUACAAGUAUGGUGGGGGCGGCGAUGGCGGCGGCGGUGAGGGAUAGAUUAUUGGUGGUGGUGGUGAUAAAUACUCUAUUGUCGGUGGUGAUGGGGUGGAACCACCUUCACAUGGUGAGCACUUCUCAUUACCAUUUGUGGUCUCAUCAAGCUUCCUUGAUUCCUGACCCUUGAUGGGAGUAGUGACAGAAAUAAGCACAAGGAUGAAAGUGAAGAUCUUUGAUGGUUUAAUUGUUGGCAUGGUUUUGAUUGGAGAUGGAAUUGUGGUGGUAGGGAAUGACUAUGUUGCCUUGAAUUGUGGUUUUCUGAGUUAGAUUUUGAAGAUAGGAUAGCAAAAGGAUUUCUUACACUAGAGAUAGUGCAUGGGGUAAAGGGUCCUUUUAGGUUAUGGGCAUGAUAAUUAAUUUAGUUUUCUAAUGAGGAAAAAGUAGGAAUGACACUUGCUACUGUGGUCCUUUCUAGUAAGGGUGACUCUAUCAUGUGGAAUCUAAUCUUCCACUGGCAUGUGGCAAUUAGUGUGUACCGUGGGUUCCACCAUACAUACAAAUCCAUAAACACCUCAAUAAUUAGCAUUAAUAUAAGCCACUUUAGGUGGUUGAGUUUUGGCACAUUGGGUUUAACCUUUAUUAAUAUAGUGAAAUUAAGUUUAACUCGGUAUUAUUAAACCAACUUAGUAUCAAAAUGUUUAUCUCCAUUUCAACACAAUGAUAUUUACUUAAUGUGGAUUUUUCAUUAUACAUUUAUAAUUUUUUAUCUAAAAUGAAAAUACUUAUAACUGAGUAAUAGUUAUAAUUUUUCCAAACAAUAUGUGAUAUAAUAGAAAACUAUGAAAAAAAACAAUAAAACAACCGCGUAUAUAUUAAAAAAUGAGCAUAUUAAAUAUAUAAAAAUGGUUUUGCACAAACUUUUGAAUGAAAGUAGACAGCGUAGUAGGAUGAGGCGCAGCAAAAGGUACGCCAAAGUGUGAGGCUUCUGAAGAUGAUAAAGUAAGUUCUUUUUCCUUGAAAAACGAAAUUUUCAGAAGCUUUUAUGUGUAUUCUAUUUUGUGAAGCUUCUUUAGCUUCACAUGACAAAUCUUCUUUGAUAGGUAUUCGAUCUGCAUGUGGGCACAUGAUUUUGGGAUCAAAUCAUAGUACCCUAUCAUUGACCAUUGAAUAUAUAUAUAUAUAAAAUUCAACAACUUUCCCUUUCAUUCCAAAAUUCGUUUUGCAUAACUUUUUUUUAAGUAUUCAAUGUUGUGGCAUAAGUUGGCACUAGUGAUUAUUCAAGUUACAUAGUC